GACGAACGCUGGCGGCGUGCUUAACACAUGCAAGUCGAACGGAAAGGCCCUGCUUUUGUGGGGUGCUCGAGUGGCGAACGGGUGAGUAACACGUGAGUAACCUGCCCUUGACUUUGGGAUAACUUCAGGAAACUGGGGCUAAUACCGGAUAGGAGCUCCUGCUGCAUGGUGGGGGUUGGAAAGUUUCGGCGGUUGGGGAUGGACGCGCGGCUUAUCAGCUUGUUGGUGGGGUAGUGGCUUACCAAGGCUUUGACGGGUAGCCGGCCUGAGAGGGUGACCAGCCACAUUGGGACUGAGAGACGGCCCAGACUCCUACGGGAGGCAGCAGUGGGGAAUAUUGCACAGUGGGCGGAAGCCUGAUGCAGCAACGCCGCGUGCGGGAUGACGGCCUUCGGGUUGUAAACCGCUUUCGCCUGUGACGAAGCGUGAGUGACGGUAAUGGGUAAAGAAGCACCGGCUAACUACGUG
rnacentral:rRNA from 1 species